CUCAUUCCAAGUAAACGUGUUAAAUAUUAUACUAUAGAUCUCAAGGAAACAUUAAAUAUACAGUGCAUCAGAGAAUUCAAUAAGAAAAACGUUCAAAACACACGAACUCAUUCCCAACUCUCUUAUAGGAUUAUGGUCUAGGCUAUUCAAAUGCAUACAUAAAAAUGUUAUUUUACUUUUAUAAAUUAAAAUGUUUAUGAAGUUUUAUACAUUUCAGUCGAUUUUGGGCUAUGGAAUAUCUUCAAAUUAAUAAAUUUUUUAUGACAGCUAUCGGACAGUGGCCAUACAGAAGCCGUCAGUUAAAUCGAGUGAUAAAUAUUGUUGCCAUUGUUUCUGCUCUAUCAUUAUUUAUACCAAUUGAAAAUCUUUGUUUAACGAAGAAGGCAAAGGUGAAAUCUUUGUAGAGGUAGAAAAUUUAAUUUAAUCAGAAAAAGACGUUAAGAGUCUUCCAAAAAAUAAACCCGGAUAAUGGACAUAAUAGAGGAAAAAACGCAAAACGAAGAAGUUGAUCUGAAAAGAAAAAAAUUUGUGCUUUGCAAUACACUUUCUCAGUUAAGAGUCUCAGCUUUUAUAGUAUUCAAGACUGAUCUCAACUGUAAGAAAAAAAAUUAUCACCAUCUGGCGGCGUAAGAGUGUAACUAUGAUGAUCUACAUCUAUAUUGGAAUUUCCCAUAUAAUUCCCUACAUAAUUUCUCAUAUAAUUUCCGACUUGAUAUCUUAGAUGGACAAUUAAAACAG